rnacentral:lncRNA from 1 species
CAUAAAUACUAAUUGGUUGCUAUGGUGAUCUCAAGCUUGUAACUAAAACGGAGGUAUCUAGGUAACAGUAUCUGAAGGUGAGAAUGAUGAAUGCUUCAACUCUGGAGUUUCGUAGGGAGAUGGUGCUGGAGUAUAAAAACUGGCAAAUGUAGCCUCAGCUCCAAAGGAUUGAACUUGAGAAGAUCCAACCAGUCUGUCAAAGGAGUAACAAAUUUGCAAAGACUCAAUUGCUAAAUAAAGAAUCAAGAUCUCGAACCAAACCUUUCUCCUUUCAGGAUGUUGUGUUAGAAGUGACAUACAGAUAACUUUUCGUAUUCUAUGUGAGCAUCAUUUUCCUUGUGAAAUGUCUUGACGCUCCUUUGGAUGCAUUUCUACCCAACACAGGAUCCCUCACGCACACACGCCUGAUAGACGUUCAUCCAAGCAUGUGCUUAACUGAAUUAACAAGGUUUUAAAAUUGAACAAAGGAAGUCUAGAUCUUAUCAAUCUUUUAGUGUGUAACAUAACUCACCUCUUCUCCCCCUUUCGUAAAUAUGAAGAAUUCAGCUAUAUGAAGAAUUACUUUUAUAACAUUUGAGUGUUUGUUAUGUGUCAGGUAAUUUAUCUCAUUCACAUAUCCUGGAAAUCUUGGAUAGUAGACUUUAUUAUCACCGAAUUAUAUAGGAGGAAUCCAAGACUCACAGGGCCUUCCACCAUACAGAACUUUUAAAACAUAUUUUAUUAAAAUCGCUUGUGUGUCUGUAGGUGUGAAUUAUAAUACACACACAGAAAAUCAUUAAAAAAGAUGAAUAGUUUUAUCACAAUAUGAUAGAUUUAUCACAAUGUAAACAUCUGCAUAAC